UACGUAGGGUGCAAGCGUUAAUCGGAAUUACUGGGCGUAAAGCGUGCGCAGGCGGUUGUGCAAGACCGAUGUGAAAUCCCCGGGCUCAACCUGGGAAUGGCAUUGGUGACUGCACGGCUAGAGUGUGUCAGAGGGGGGUAGAAUUCCACGUGUAGCAGUGAAAUGCGUAGAGAUGUGGAGGAAUACCGAUGGCGAAGGCAGCCCCCUGGGAUAACACUGACGCUCAUGUACGAAAGCGUGGGGAGCAAACAGG
rnacentral:rRNA from 1 species